rnacentral:lncRNA from 1 species
GGCGCCCCCUGAUCUCACAUUAUUGCUCUCGGUUUCAAAACAAAUAAAAGAACGAAAAGUGAAAAAGUAAGGGAAGGUUGACAACAACUUGCUAUUUUUCUUCAUCUUUUCAUGUAAUACCCAAGAACCACCAAAUAAACACCAAUCAUCUCCAUACACAAAAGUUCUUCCAUCACUUUUCUAACAAAACCUCCAUACAUCCUCAUAUUAUAAAUAAUAAUAAAUCAUGAAAAAAAUAUAGAAAAAAGCUAGAUCCACUUUUCAUUUCUUCCAGGCACUAAACUAAACACACAUUAACCUCACAAGCUCUCUUCCGACAACACUAUCCCACCAUCAUCUCGCCGGAAAAUUUCAAAACGUUACAACUACGUUUCGCCGCUUCACUGUGCAAGUGUUUGAAGUAAAUAUUUCCUUGUUAUUAUGUUUCUUUCUU